CUGCUCCAAAAAAUCUAAGAGCUACUAAAAAUAUGUUAUUUUACUAUAAAAACUUUGUUGGAAUAAACUCUAUGCAAAAAUACCCUUAUGUAAUUUUACCAAAGUUGUGUGCCUUGUAAAAGUAAGAUUUUCUGCCCUUUUGGCCUCUAGCUCGACAAAAAUCAUGAGAUUUCACAAAUCUGAUUGAAAAUGCAGGUUGGUAUUUUCAGAUAAGUUCAAAGGAAAAAAUAAAAGUCUGGAUUCAAAAUAAAGGUAAAAAUUUUGGUACUUACACUUAUCAACCCAUUUUAUCUUUGUAUCAGUAAAAAUGCAAUAAAUAAAUAAAUCAAAAA